CCUACGGGAGGCAGCAGUGGGGGAUAUUGCACAAUGGGGGAAACCCUGAUGCAGCGACGCCGCGUGGGUGAAGAAGCGCCUCGGCGCGUAAAGCCCUGUCAGCAGGGAAGAAAAUGACGGUACCUGAAGAAGAAGCCCCGGCUAACUACGUGCCAGCAGCCGCGGUAAUACGUAGGGGGCAAGCGUUAUCCGGAUUUACUGGGUGUAAAGGGGGCGCAGACGGGGAUGCAAGCCAGGAGUGAAAGCCCGGGGCCCAACCCCGGGACUGCUCUUGGAACUGGGAGGCUAGAGUGCAGGAGGGGCAGGCGGAAUUCCUGGUGUAGCGGUGAAAUGCGUAGAUAUCAGGAGGAACACCGGUGGCGAAGGCGGCCUGCUGGACUGCAACUGACGUUGAGGCCCGAAAGCGUGGGGAGCAAACAGGAUUAGAUACCCGGGUAGUC
rnacentral:rRNA from 1 species